CCCUGCUGCUGCCAUCCUGCACCAGCUUGUCCAUCGUUCCUUCAGUCUCUUCUGACACAGGAUGAGGGGAAAGAAUGGAGAGAGAGAGCAAAGAAAAAGGCGGGGAAAAGGCGGGGAAAAGGCUGCUGCGGACCAAUGAGAUGCUGGCGGAGGCGGGACGGAGCUGCCGAUGACCAAUCACAGGCAGGCGAAGGCGGGACGGCGCUGCCUGUGACCAAUCACAGGCUGACGAGGGCGGGAUGGCGCUGCCGCUGACCAAUGAUAGGCUGGCGGAGGCGGGACGGCGUUGUCGAGAACCAAUGAGAGGCUGGCGGAGGAGGGACGGCGCUGCCGAUGACCAAUCACUUACAGGCGAGGGCGGGACGGCGCUGCCGAUGACCAAUCACAGGCGGGCGAGGGCGGGACGGCGCUGCCGAUGACCAAUCACAGGCUGACGAGGGCGGGACAGCGCUGCCGAUGACCAAUGAGAGGCUAACGAGGGCGGGACGGCGCGACCGGUGACCAAUCACAGGCUGACGAGGGCGGGACAGCGCUGCCGAUGACCAAUCACUGGCUGAAGAGGGCGGGACGGCGCGGCCGGUGACCAAUCACAGGCUGACGAGGGCGGGACAGCGCUGCCGCUGACCAAUCACUGGCUGAAGAGGGCGGGACGGCGCGACCGGUGACCAAUCACAGGCUGACGAGGGCGGGACAGCGCUGCCGCUGACCAAUCACUGGCUGAAGAGGGCGGGACGGCGCGGCCGGUGACCAAUGAGAGCCUGGCGGGAGAGGGACAGUGCUGCCCUUGACCAACGAGAGGUGUCACUUACCCCUCUCCAAGAAUCAAGGCGCAGACAUUACAGCAACUGAGGGGGUGCCAAAAGGCAAACAGCAUCUGGCGGGGUACUUGGCACUUGGGGAAAGCAUGAAGAUACCUUUAUGUCCUGGAACGCCCACACCUUGACCAGGAACAGGACACGCUCACUGCGGAACCUUGGACGCCCCAAAACGCCUGCUACGUCUGGUGGUGGAGUCGCCAAUCCUACCAAGAAAGAAGAAAGCCUCACACGCGGUCCUCAACAAAGUGGGUUAGAGAAGAAAGGUGGGCACUGUACAAACCCCAAAACGAGGACAGCACUCAGCAGAAGCCUGUUUAGGAGAUACCUCUUCUUUUGGCACCUCACUUGGUCACAAGUGUGCCCGGGGGUCAUGGGAACUCCAGCGAGGCACCGCCAGGCAACAUGGAAAAAAGAGAAGAGAAACAGAACACAAGUGAAGCAAAUACUACAGAAGCCAAAAUGAAUUGAACCUGCCAUUUAUUCAGAGCAAAAAGAAAAAAAAAAGAAGAGA